CAGAGAGAAGAAGAGAGUUAGAACAAUUACAGGAUAAUUGAGAGCAAAAGAGAGUUAGAAACCUUUACCUUUCAGUAGCAGUAACCUGGAAACCCACCAAUUGAGAGCAAUCGAAAGAGUGACACAGAGAAAAAGAAAAGAAAAAGGUCGACUGGUUGAGAAGGCAAAUCGAAAGAGUGACUGGUUGUAAAGAAAAAGAAAAGAAAAGGUUCAGAGACAGAGGAAGAGGCGAAGGAAUGGGGAAGCCAAUCGGGAGGCGAAGGUAGAACGA
rnacentral:lncRNA from 1 species